rnacentral:rRNA from 1 species
UACAGAGGGUGCGAGCGUUAAUCGGAAUUACUGGGCGUAAAGCGCGCGUAGGCGGCUUUGCAAGUCGGGUGUGAAAUCUCGGAGCUUAACUCCGAAACUGCAUUCGAUACUGCCGUGCUUGAGGACUGGAGAGGAGACUGGAAUUUACGGUGUAGCGGUGAAAUGCGUAGAUAUCGUAAGGAAGACCAGUGGCGAAGGCGGGUCUCUGGACAGUUCCUGACGCUGAGGCACGAAGGCCAGGGGAGCAAACGGG